GGCUCCGUAGCUCAGCUGGUAGAGCGCUCGCCGCAUUGAGACAUGCUGUGUCUGUAGCUGGUUCGAAUCCAGCCGAAGCCC
rnacentral:tRNA from 1 species